AUCCCUACCUUGAACUUUCCAGUUAGUCAGCCGGAUUAGCUGUGUGGAAACGUUUUGACUUUCAGUCAGGUUUGGCCUUGAUCUGUAUUUUACUCUUUGAAAAAUUUAUACAAGGGGUCCAGGUAGAUCUCUUCGAUCACUGGACUAUAGAGAUCGACAGUCGGUUAGCAACAUCCUAUUAAGUGACAGAACGAAUUUAGACUCUGCCACAAGACGCUGUUCCACGAAUAUUGGCGUGUUGUGACGAGUUCUGAAUUUGUUCUGCCAUUUAAUGUAAAUUUUUAAUUCUAGUGGCUAUUAAUUUAAAAAAGCCGGAUGACAUCAUCACAAAUAUUAACUAGUCCGUGAUAGGCUCUGAAUUGACCGCUACUAAAAGUAUCCCUUGUGUGACAUAAUUAAAACUGUUCCCCUUAUAGGAUGAAAAGCGAGUAACUGCGUUAUAUUAGUUUGAGUUAUGACGCCCUUCGACGGCAUAACUCAAAUUAUUUUGUUGGCCGGAUUGGCCGUGUAGAAACACUUCGGCUUUCUAUCUUAGAUGAUUCUGGUUCGAUUCUUGGAUCUCAUCCCUAGGAAAUCUAUUCAUGGGAUCCAGCCAGAUUCUUACAAACUAUUAGGUUUAGGACUAAAUUCGAUUCUGAAAAGACAGCGUUUUCUCGUGGCUAAUUCUUUGAUAUCAUCCAAGUUAUAAAUGGUAUAUCGAUGGACUAGGCAGGAUUUUCUUAAAAUAGCUGUGGAUAUCUCGGAAUUGUUGUUUGGCUGGAUGGAAAUGCUUUCGCUUUCAUAUGUGAUUCCAGGAUCGAAUUUGAGUCCCAUCCCGUGGAAAAAUUAUACAGGGUGGACCGGGCCUCUCUUGUCGAUUACUAUUCUGUAUGGUCCGACCGAUAGUUCUACAGGAUUGGACGACCUAUGGCAGUUCCUAAAUUCUCUUCCGGCACUUAAUAGUAAUUGUUGAUUGAAAAGAUAGGCCAUCUGCAGGGCCGCCGAGAGAAAUUUUCGGGCCCGUGAUAAGUCUCUAGUCCGGACCCCACUGAAAAAAGUACAUCACUUUGAUUUAAUGAGAAAGAUCAUAUAAAAUAUUAAACAUUUAUUAAAAAAGUGUUACACCAACAAAAAAUUAUAUAUUUUAUACUAUACAAAAUACAAACA
rnacentral:lncRNA from 1 species